rnacentral:rRNA from 1 species
CCCUUAGAUGUUCUGGGCCGCACGCGCGCUACACUGAUGCAUUCAACAAGCCUAGCCUUGACCGAGAGGUCCGGGUAAUCUUUGAAACUGCAUCGUGAUGGGGCUAGAUUAUUGCAAUUAUUAAUCUUCAACGAGGAAUGCCUAGUAAGCGUGAUUCAUCAAAUCGCGUUGAUUACGUCCCUGCCCUUUGUACACACCGCCCGUCGCUCCUACCGAUUGAAUGUGUUGGUGGGGGGCUCGGAUUGGCAGCAGUUGGUGGUUCGCCACCGGCUAUUGCUGAGAAGUCCUCCAAACCGCCCCAUUUAGAGGAAGGAGAAGUCGUAACA